rnacentral:ncRNA from 1 species
CCUGCCAAACUUAAGCAUAUCACUAAGUGGAGGAAAAGAAACCAACCAGGAUUUUGUAAAUAACAGCAAGUAAACUGGGAGAAGCCCAACGCUGUAUCUUGUCGGCCACGCCGGUCAUCAAGAGCUAAGACACAAGGGUCAUGCACAGUUGAUUGAUUCACCUGGCUAGGCUCAGAGUCCCCUCAAUUAGGGCUACCCAGAGCAGGUGCCAGGCCCAUUUAGAGCAGGCGGUGAUAGGUGGUAUACUUCAGUCCGAGAGUCGUGUUGCUAGGGAAUACAGCCCAAAGUGGGUGGUCAGUGCCAUCCAAGGCUAAAUAUGGGGACGAGUCCAAUAGCCAACAAGUACCAUGAGAGAAAGUUGAAAACAACUCUGGAGAGAGAGUUCAAGAGACUAUGAAAACACCCAGGGGUAAACAGGUAGAACCACUCACUGUGGGGCACCGAUAUCGCACACACUUUCCCUCUGAUCCGUCAUUACAACCUGUUCCUGUUGGGCCGGCAGGCACAUAGCAUCCGCAGGUCGCAGGGCAGUGCCCCACUACUGCCAGCUUCGGCCAGCCGACCAGCAGCUGGAAUAAUGCACUUCUCUCAACCAGGCUCGUCACUCCAUGAAAGCACAGGCACAGCUAACCGACGGAGACAGGCUAAUGAACCUCGUCUGCAGCAAGCAUGACACAGUGAGUCAACUGCAAAUUGUUGAAGCCUUUCACUUUGCAAACUCUGACAGUACAGCAAAAGCGAGAACAUGACAUGUCAUUGCACGCAUCAGUCAGCAUGGCACCUAUGGGCAUUGGCAGUGUGCAGGGCACCUCAAAGCAUCAUUCCCAGCUAAGUUCCAUGCAUUCAUGUUCCUGUUCUGACUCAGGUGUAGCAGCCGACCAGAGACCUGAAACAUGGCAAUCAACACCCAGUCGAGAUAAAGCUAGAGGAAACUCUGGUGGAAGUCCAAAACGCUUCUGACAUGCAAAUCGAUUGCUGGAACCGGGUGUAGGGGUGAAAGACCAAUCAGGCUAUCUAGUAGCUGGUUCCCUCUGAAGUUCCCCUGAGGACAGCUGGCAUUAGUGGGAGAAUGACACACAAUUCCGUCUGGUAAAGCAAACAACUGGAGGCCCCGGGGACAAUGAUGGCCUCAAUCUACUCUCGAACUCAGAAUGAGUGAAACGGGCUGCUCCUCUCCCGAUCAGAAGUGGUGGUAUAUUGUAGCCAUUGUGACGCGACAAAUGCACAGUACCAAGUGGGACACUUUUAGUAAGCAGAACCGAAGAUAUGGGAUGAACUAAACGUCCAGCUAAGGUGCCCUAUGCUCUGCCCAUUAGAUCCCUGAAAGGAUGUCAGUCAAUAUAGACAGCAGGAUGGUGGCCACAAAAGUCAGAAUCCACUCAGGUGGGUGUAACAACUUACCUGCCAUUUCGACCAGCCACGAAAAUGGAUGGUGCUGGAGCAAGUGACCGAUGCUGGAUUGGCUGGGUGACAGGUUGCGCAGUCGCUGGCGAGGUGACUUUCUGAUGCCCAGUUGAGUAGGAGGGCACCAUGAUGUACAUGCAAGCCACAGGCGUGAGCCCAGGUAUAGCCAACCACGGGUGUAGAUCUCGAUGGUAGUAGCAAAUAUUCGAAUGAGACCUUUGUAGACCGAAGUGGAGAGAGGUUCUGUUGCCAAUGGUGGUCAAGCACAGGUCAGUCGGUCCUAAGAAGCAGGUGAAAACUUGCACGAAAGGCAGUGGAACUGUCAUUGAAUCGAAAGGAAAUCAAGUUAAUAUUCCUGAAACCGAAUUUGGCAUUCCCGAAACCAAACACAGCGCAUUCCUAGCAGUGUAUCUGUUGUCGAAGCUGGUGUCCGGGUGAAGCAGAGGCAAUGCAAGCGAGACCAGAGAUGUUGUUGGGCACCCCGGAAAGAGUUCUCUCUUCUUCGUGAAGGACCAUGCCUGUGGAAUCGGCUUGUCCAGAGAUACGGAUAUGGCAUCUGUAGAGCGCACAUAUAUACAUAUGUGUAUCACACACAUAUAUGUGUGUGCGUGUGUAUUUACAGGGUGGCCCAAAAGUAGGUUUACAGUUAUAACAUAGGCACUUCAAAUAUCUUUUAAAACAUUACAAUUAACUAAAUUAGCACAGAAUAAUGGUU